rnacentral:rRNA from 1 species
GAUCCUGGCUCAGGACGAACGCUGGCGGCGUGCCUAACACAUGCAAGUCUAACGGAGAUAAAGAUUUCGGUUUUUAUCUUAGUGGCGCACGGGUGAGUAACACGUGAAUAACCUGACCCAAAGAGGGGGGAGUAACACCUGGAAACAGGUGCUAAUACCGCAUAAGACCACAAUGUCGCAUGACGAAGGGGUCAAAGAAAAUCGCUUUGGGAGGGGUUCGCGUCCCAUUAGGUAGUAGGCGGGGUAAUAGCCCACCUAGCCGACGAUGGG